AUGAGUACUGUAAUCUCGGUUUGCUCUUGGAAUGUAAGAGGACUUGGUGAUAAUGAAAAAUGCGCUGAUGUUCUCUCUGAAUUAAUCUCUAUCAACCCCCACUUGGCCUUAUUAUAAGAAUCCAAACUGCAACACAUAACUGAUCAAAAACUUCGGACCUUCAUACCCCGCUCUCUUGACCACUCUGUCUUCCUCCCUGCUAACGGAACUGCGGGCGGAACCGUUUCGGCUGCAAACUCAUCAACUAUCAACAUCAUCUCCUCCACUAACCACACCUAUGCCACUACCCUCACCAUCAAAACUUUGGCUCUUGGACAAAACAUAGCAAUUACUAACGUCUAUGCCCCCUCCUGUCGCUCUCAAAAACAGUCCUUCUUGGACGAGCUUCUAUCCAGCAAGCAGGACGACUCGACUCCCUGGCUCCUGAUCGGUGAUUUUAACUUGCUUCGCUUCUCGGACGAAAAGAAUAAACGAAACUUUCGGUAAAGCGAAGCCACGGCGUUUAAUGACACUAUCAAUGAACUAGCCCUAAUCGAACUACCCCUGCUGGACCGCCGUUUCACUUGGUCAAAUAAUCGCGACUCCCCUACCCUAGAACGACUUGAUCGUGCUUUCAUCAACUUAGCCUGGAAUGACUCCUUCCCCGACACCACUCUCUCAUCUCUCACAUGUUUUACCUCUGACCAC
rnacentral:rRNA from 1 species